ACACUGACAUUAGAUACCCCGGUAGUCCCAGCCGUAAACAAUGUGCGUUAGGUGUGUCGGUAACCACGCGUUACUGAUGCGCCGAAGAGAAAUCGUGAAACGCACCACCUGGGAAGUACGGUCGCAAGGCUGAAACUUAAAGGAAUUGGCGGGGAGCACCACAACAGGUGGAGCCUGCGGUUUAAUUGGAUUCAACGCCGGACAUCUCACCGGAUAAGACAGCUGAAUGAUUGUCAAUCUGAAGGUUUUACAUGACUAGCUG
rnacentral:rRNA from 1 species